rnacentral:rRNA from 1 species
ACGCACGCUGGCGGCGUGCUUAACACAUGCAAGUCGAACGGAAAGGCCCUGCUUUUGUGGGGUGCUCGAGUGGCGAACGGGUGAGUAACACGUGAGUAACCUGCCCUUGACUUUGGGAUAACUUCAGGAAACUGGGGCUAAUACCGGAUAGGAGCUCCUGCUGCAUGGUGGGGGUUGGAAAGUUUCGGCGGUUGGGGAUGGACUCGCGGCUUAUCAGCUUGUUGGUGGGGUAGUGGCUUACCAAGGCUUUGACGGGUAGCCGGCCUGAGAGGGUGACCGGCCACAUUGGGACUGAGAGACGGCCCAGACUCCUACGGGAGGCAGCAGUGGGGAAUAUUGCACAAUGGGCGGAAGCCUGAUGCAGCAACGCCGCGUGCGGGAUGACGGCCUGCGGGUUGUAAACCGCUUUCGCCUGUGACGAAGCGUGAGUGACGGUAAUGGGUAAAGAAGCACCGGCUAACUACGUG